UACAGAGGGUGCAAACGUUGUUCGGAAUCACUGGGCGUAAAGCGGGUGUAGGCGGCCUUGCAAGUCGGGUGUGAAAUCCCAAGGCUCAACCUUGGACGUGCACUCGAAACUGCUCGGCUGGAGUCCUGGAGAGGAAGGUGGAAUGCUUGGUGUAGAGGUGAAAUUCGUAGAUAUCAAGCGGAACACCGGUGGCGAAGGCGGCCUUCUGGACAGUGACUGACGCUGAGACCCGAAAGCGUGGGGAGCAAACAGG
rnacentral:rRNA from 1 species